UUCCUCCUAGUUUAGGAGGUAAGGCCUGCUCACUGAAUUAUUAAAGAGCCGCAGUAUCCUAACUGUGCUAAGGUAGCAUAAUCAUUUGUCUUUUAAUUGGAGACUGGUAUGAAUGGCUAAACGAGAAAUUGACUUUUUUUAUUAUUAUAGUUGAACUUAAUUUUUUAGUGAAAAAGCUAAAAUUUUUCAGAAAGACGAGAAGACCCUAUAGAGUUUUAUGUCUAAAAAUUUAUUUUCUAAUUUGAUUUUUAAAGAUUAUAAAUAGUAAGACAUUUUGUUGGGGCGACAUUAAGAUAUAUAAAACUCUUUAUUUUAUAAAUUUUUAUAAAAAGCUUUUUUGAUCCUCUAUAAGAGAUCAAAAGAAAAAAUUACCUUAGGGAUAACAGCGUAAUCUUUUUUGAGAGUUCUAAUCGACAAAAAGGUUUGCGACCUCGAUGUUGGACUAAAAUUUAGGCAGGGUGCAGCAGUUCUGCUUUUAGGUCUGUUCGACCUAUAAUAUUUUACGUGAUCUGAGUUCAGACCG
rnacentral:rRNA from 1 species